rnacentral:rRNA from 1 species
GCUCGUAGUUGGAUUUGUGGCAGUCGCGUGCGGCCCGGCAUUCGUGCCGGUGCUUGCUAGCGUCGCCAUCCUUGGGUGGAACCUGUGUGGCAUUAGGUUGUCGUGCAGGGGAUGCCCAUCGUUUACUGUGAAAAAAUUAGAGUGUUCAAAGCAGGCUUAUGCCGUUGAAUAUAUUAGCAUGGAAUAAUAAGAUAGGACCUUGGUACUAUUUUGUUGGUUUGCGCACCAAGGUAAUGAUUAAUAGGGACAGUUGGGGGUAUUCGUAUUCCAUUGUCAGAGGUGAAAUUCUUGGAUUUUUGGAAGACGAACUACUGCGAAAGCAUU